UGUGGAAAGUGGCAGACGGGUGAGUAACGCGUGGGAACCUACCUAGUAGUACGGAACAACAGUUGGGAAACGACUGCUAAUGCUGUAUACGCCCUCCGGGGGAAAGAUUUAUCGCUAUUAGAUGGGCCCGCGUUGGAUUAGCUUGUUGGUGAGGUAACGGCUCACCAAGGCGACGAUCCAUAGCUGGUCUGAGAGGAUGAUCAGCCACACUGGGACUUAGACACGGCCCAGACUCCUACGGGAGGCAGCAGUGGGGAAUAUUGCACAAUGGGCGCAAGCCUGAUGCAGCCAUGCCGCGUGAGUGAAGAAGGCCCUAGGGUUGUAAAGCUCUUUCGGCGGGGACGAUAAUGACGGUACCCGCAGAAGAAGCCCCGGCUAACUCCGUGCCAGCAGCCGCGGUAAUACGGAGGGGGCUAGCGUUGUUCGGAAUUACUGGGCGUAAAGCGCGCGUAGGCGGAUCUUUAAGUCAGGGGUGAAAUCCCGGGGCUCAACCUCGGAACUGCCCUUGAUACUGGAGAUCUCGAGUCCGGAAGAGGUUAGUGGAAUUCCCAGUGUAGAGGUGAAAUUCGUAGAUAUUGGGAAGAACACCAGUGGCGAAGGCGGC
rnacentral:rRNA from 1 species